ACACCCCAAAAAUACGACCCAAAAAUUUCGUUUUUUCAACAUAACCAAAAACCAUGAUCUGAGUGUCAUAUCAUAAACCAUACAUGAUGUGUCUCAAAAUAAAAACACUGUGCGGAAAACUGUAUCAUAUUCAUGUCAUAUAAAAAUCAAGAACCAAAUCAACUCCCAGGAUAAGAACUGAAGUUGUGGUGCGUGCGAUGCCAUCAUCCCGAGCUCUUCCCUCUACAAGCGCAAGUACCUGAAACCAAAACUGAAACUGUAAGCACGAAGCUUAGUGAGCUCCCCCAAAUUACCUCAUACCAUACAAUAAUAUAUCAAGCACAUACUGGGGCCUUGCCCCCUCCAUCGGACCAAAGUCCGAAGCUGACUGACUGGGACCUUGUCCCCUACAUCGGACCGGAGUCCGAAGCUCACAUCAGACCGAAGUCCGAAGCUGACCGGGACCUUGUCCCCUACAUCGAACCGAAGUCCGAAGCUGACAUCAGACCGAAGUCCGAAGCUGACCGGGACCUUGUCCCCUACAUCGAACCGAAGUCCGAAGCUGACUGAUCAUAUCAUAAACGUAUCACUUAACAUGAACACACAUAACCCUGUCUGAGCCACGAAGGCAACAAACAUGCUAACUACUGCAUCAGAUAAAAAUCCAGAUACUACUGCUAGCUAAACGGGCCGGCAUUGUGGCCUUAGACCCGUUCCUACUGAAAAGGGACUCACCUCGUGAACUGGCUGCUGAGUAAAAAGCUCUGAGGGCUAACUGCUGCUGCUCCGGUAUCUCCCCGGCUACAAGUCCAUAAACACACUCAAUCAAAUACUAAACACUGCACUGGGUAAAAUGACUCUUUUACCCUUGGUCAAAGUCAACCCUCGGACAAAGUCAACCCACAGUUGACCUGACUCGCCGAGUUGGGCCGCCAACUCGCCGAGUCCCUGUUUUCAUCCCUCGACCCUACUCGCUGCUACUCGUCGAGUAUGGCAUCGACUCGACGAGUACUCAUUCGAUCCAAGAACUCAGACAAUCUUCAUCCGACUCGCCGAGUCAUAUGAACAACUCGACGAGUUGUUCU
rnacentral:lncRNA from 1 species